rnacentral:lncRNA from 1 species
GUUAUCACUGAUCAGUUGUUGAUUUUCCCCUCUGUUCUCAUACAGAGUCACUUCCUUGGUACAUGAGACCUAAGAUGAAUUCCAACAUCUUCCCUUCCUGGACCCAGUACUGCAUCCCUCUUUCUCUCCAAUGACAGCAUCUCUCCAAAGGGUGGAAGGCAUUUUCACUGCACCCAGGACUCCUUUCACUGCCCCAUCCUCUUAAAGACAG